UGUCCACUCGAGAGAGCUUGGGGAGAUGGUGUCUCUCAGCCAAUUACAGAAAUGACCAGAGUUCCUCUGCCCCAUCUCUCAAGCUGGAGGUAGUUCUAAGGUCCUUCUCUGAUGGAAUUAGGAAAGCAGAAGAAUAAUCUCUUGGACCUUCUGGUUCUGGCAGCCAAAGGCCUAUGCUGUUUUGUGCAGCAACGGGAAGAUGUAAUUCUGUCCUACGUAACAGCUGAAGACUGACUACCACUGCCUCUGAUGAAGCCACCAAAAUCAGGGAAGCUUGGGGAAACCAUUCAAGUGGUGAUACAUCUCUGUCAUUUUAAUUGAUACAAAGGCCAUUUGUAUUAUACUUCCUGCUAUAAUUUAUCCUUCUCAGAUCUCUGAUGCUUUUGACAGCUAACUGUAGCUUUAUCAGUUUAGCAGCAGCUGCCUGGUCAAUGCAUUUCAUAUACAAAAACAGGCCUUAAUCUUCUAGAGCUAUUAGGUCACCAAAUAAAAAAAAAUACAAGCUCACGGGCAGUUUUGCCUUACUAACAGGCUUCAUAUUAAAGGAUAAAGGUUUCCAACAUAAGUUUUACUAUUUAAAAGAACUUGCUCUGCAAAGAUUUGCUCUCGGUAAUUAGCCACUUACAUCUGUCUAAUGGUAAAUAACUGGAUAAAAAGUAUAAGGUUUAUGUCAAUUAUAAACAAUUAAAAAUUGUCUAAAUAAAUUAUGAAGAUCUAAAAAGUGAUUUAAAACAUGAACACAAGUUACUCUAUGCUGUUGUUAUACUAAGAUUUCAAAAGUUCAGAGUUUUAACAUUAAUCAGUAGAGUUCUGAUAAGUUAUUAGUAGUCCUGGUACUGCUAUUAUUAUCAGUCACAAGCUCAAGAUUUAAAUUUACCCCUGGCUAUCUUCUAAAUAUAGACUUAAAGAUGCUUCUCAUCAUGCUAAAAACGUCUCUGUCCAAUCUAUAUCUCCAGCCCUCUGGACAGAGAAAAGAAUGUUCAUGCUUUUUAACCCAAAGCCACAGCUCUUCCUAUGACCCAAAAGCACAAGUCUACUCCAGUUGUUUUACAGACAUCUGUUGGCCACUUUUUCUACACUAUGGAUUUCAGUACAGAUUACACACAAUCAUAAUUUAAGUUUCAGGAAAUCAAGAAAGUCAUAAGACUUGGAUCUACCUCACACAGGUCAAAUGGAUUCCAGAUAAAUACUCCUGUCAAUCAACAGCUUAAGCUUCCCAGCCUAUUGCUUAUUCUUAAUGGGGAAGUCCCAAAUAUAAAAGUUUCCUUAAGUUCUUUAACUUUAGCUUCUGUUCCUAGCAUAUAUCUUUCUUUGCAGAGUUCCACUCAGUUGGUAGACACCAUCCAGAAAUCAACUACAAACUGCUCCAAAGGUCAUCUAUACCACACCAAUCCCAGGUUUCCUGCAAAAAUGGGAGUCCCUGUAAGUCAUCUCAAUCUGCUCCCUGUGGAUGACCCUCUCUACCAGC